rnacentral:rRNA from 1 species
CCUACGGGUGGCUGCAGUGGGGAAUUUUGGACAAUGGGGGCAACCCUGAUCCAGCCAUGCCGCGUGCGGGAAGAAGGCCUUCGGGUUGUAAACCGCUUUUAGUCGGGAAGAAAAGACCAAGCCUAAUAAGCUUGGUUCUUGACGGUACCGGCGGAAUAAGCACCGGCUAACUACGUGCCAGCAGCCGCGGUAAUACGUAGGGUGCGAGCGUUAAUCGGAAUUACUGGGCGUAAAGCGUGCGCAGGCGGUUCGUUAAGUUCGAUGUGAAAGCCCCG